AGUCGAGGAUCAUGCACAAUGGGGGAAACCCUGAUGCUGCGACGCCGCGUGGAGGAUGAAGGUCUUCGGAUUGUAAACUCCUGUCAUCAAUGAGUAUGCCUUCGCCGGUGAAUAUCCGGCGGAGGUGACAGUAAUUGAAGAGGAAGGGACGGCUAACUUCGUGCCAGCAGCCGCGGUAAUACGAAGGUCCCAAGCGUUGUUCGGAAUCACUGGGCGUAAAGGGUGCGUAGGCGGCGUGGAAAGUCAGAUGUGAAAGCCCCGGGCUCAACCCGGGAAUUGCAUCCGAUACUCCCGCGCUAGAGGAUUGGAGAGGAGUCUGGAAUUCACGGUGUAGCAGUGAAAUGCGUGGAUAUCGUGAGGAACACUUGUGGCGAAAGCGAGACUCUGGACAAUUCCUGACGCUGAUGCACGAAGGCCGGGGGAGCGAA
rnacentral:rRNA from 1 species